rnacentral:misc_RNA from 1 species
UUAGUCUAUACUCAGAGCCCCUAGACGCAUGCGCGCUCCCGCCCGUGCUAGACAAAAUGGCCACUCGGUAACGCGUCUUUCAAUUGAUUUUUAUUCCGUUCUUCCCAUACCGAUUGCAUCCGAAAACACACAAAACGGCUCGUCGAACCACCACGUCAAUACCGGCCGAGUCGCACGCAGUGGUAAAAAUAAUUCCGUAUUAUUUUAUAAUUUUAUAACCUGAACCGUAGUCCGUUCCCGAACUGUUUCUGUGUUAUGUGUUAAUUACCAGUGUAUUUUUAAUUUGGAACGGAUGCUGCAUCCAACCAUGUCGAAGAGAAUUAAAAUAAUAUUAGUUUAAACAAAAAAAAAAAAAGAAAUAGAAAAACAAAUCCAUGAGUCACAGAAGCCUAAAAUUGAUGCCUUGAGUUGUGUUGUGAACAGUUUGACAAGGAAUCAAAGAUGGCGUCGUGCCUCGGUGGCCAUUUUGGGAGCAGCCAGGAUUACGUUCCGGUUGCGGAGUUUUACGCAGACAAAUCAGUGUUCGUGACUGGUGGUACGGGAUUUAUGGGGAAGGUGUUAGUGGAAAAGCUGCUGCGGAGUUGUCCAAAAAUAAAAAAAAUCUAUCUGCUGAUGCGGCCAAAGAGAGGGCAGGAUGUCGCGUCGCGUCUCUCCGAGCUCACACAAUCUCCGCUGUUCGAGACGUUAAGAAAAGACCGGCCGCAAGAGCUCAACAAGAUCGUGCCAAUCGUCGGCGACAUCACGGAACCCGAGCUGGGGAUCAGUCCGGCGGACCAGUCUAUGCUUUGUCAAAAGGUGUCCGUGGUAUUCCACUCAGCGGCGACGGUGAAGUUCGACGAGAAACUCAAGCUGUCAGUCACCAUCAACAUGCUGGGCACGCAACAGCUCGUCCAGCUGUGUCAUCGGAUGUUGGGGCUAGAGGCGCUGGUCCACGUAUCAACGGCGUACUGCAACUGCGAACGAGAAAGAGUAGAGGAGACAGUGUACGCCCCACCCGCACACCCCGAGCACGUCGUCACGCUGGUGCAGACGCUGCCCGACGACCUGGUGGACAGGAUCACACCGGACUUAGUGGGAGACAGGCCUAACACAUACACGUUUACGAAGGCACUCGCGGAGGACAUGCUUAUAAAAGAGUGCGGCAAUCUUCCCGUAGCGAUCGUCAGACCAUCAAUUGUGCUGUCAUCCGUACGGGAGCCGGUGAAGGGGUGGGUGGACAACUGGAACGGGCCCAACGGCAUCAUCGCGGCGGUCGGCAAGGGCAUCUUCCGCACGAUGCUGGGCACGGGCACGCGGGUGGCGGACCUGGUGCCCGUCGACACCGUCAUCAACCUGAUGAUCGUGUGCGCUUGGCGGACUCACUUGAGACGAGGCGACGGCGUGAUAGUGUACAACUGCUGCACGGGGCAGCGGAACCCGAUCACGUGGCAGCGCUUCGUCAAGACCAGCUUUAAAUAUAUGCGGAAACAUCCGUUUAGCGAAGUGGUGUGGUACCCGGGCGGCAACAUCACGAGCAACCGGCCGCUGCACAACACGCUGGCGCUGCUGCAGCAUCGCGCGCCGGCGCUCGUCGUCGACUUCUUCGCCAAGCUGUCGGGCGGCAAGCCCAUGAUGGUGCGUGUCCAAAACAAGCUAGAGAAGGCGUCCUCCUGCCUGGAGUACUUCACAACGCGCCAGUGGGCGUUCGCGGACGGCAACGUGCAGGCGCUGUGCGGCGCGCUGUCGCCCGAGGACCGCGCCACCUUCGACUUCGACGUGUCCAACAUCGACUGGGACGCGUACAUCGAGAGCUACGUGCUCGGCAUCCGCAGGUUCCUGUUCAAGGAGAGCCCCGACACGCUGCCGCGCUCCAGGAACACGCUGCGGAGGUGAGUGUCACGACACCUUCGACUUCGACGUGUCCAACAUCGACUGGGACGCGUACAUCGAGAGCUACGUGCUAGGCAUCCGCAGGUUCCUGUUCAAGGAGAGCCCCGACACGCUGCCGCGCUCCAGGAACACGCUGCGGAGGUUACACAUAGUCCACAUCCUAACGCAAGUGGCCGCCGUGUUCUUCCUGUGGAGAUUUCUGUUCAGUCGCUCGAACGCGUUGCGGAACCUCUGGCGUCGCAUCGUCGACAUACUGACGCGCGCCGCGCGACUACUGGCCGUCGCCUGAUGUCGCGCGACACCCUGAUACACGCUUACAUAAUGCCACUUGACGCGCGACAAAUCGUUGAUAAUAAACGCUUGAUGAAAAUAAAGUAAUGUUGAAUCUUUUUGGGGCCGCGCGACUAAUAGUUUCGGAUAUGCGAAUCGUCUCGGGCGUAAUUAGUGUAUUCCCUUAUGUCAAAGGUUGUUUAAACUAAGACACAUAGAAUUAUUUGAUAUUAUACGAUGUAGGGAGACGAGAAAUGUGUGUUCAAUUACAAGUAACUGCAGUCUAAAUACAAAUCUCGAAUGUUGAUUUUGAUUCGCAAAUCACGUGAAAAAUCAAUCAAAAUUUACACAUAAGCUACGCAAUGUUUACAUUAAAACAAUGUAAUAUAAAAUUUCGAGUAUUUUUUCUUAAAAAUCCAAAGAAUUCGUAUUUUAAACAUUCUCAAUUCUCAACGCAUAAAUCAUCGGAGAAAUCGUAGUUUAAUAAAAUAUUUCACUUACGCAUAUCACGCGAUCGAGCGAUUAAAUUCUUUAAAAACCCUUCAUAUUUUAUAUUAUAUAAACUAUGAAGAUAUAAACUAGGAAUAAUUAAAUCUAAUUACGCCUGUUGAUUAAUAUAGUGGUCAAGGCCAGAUGUCGCGCGACAAUUUGUUGGCAGAUGCUUAGAUUUUUUGGCGUACGACGCAUCUGUGUUACGAAACUUGUUUGCAAUCGUAUGUGAUAAUCACAAUCCGUGUCAUAGACAAAACUAUGAUCAGAACAACGAUAGCGAUUGCAAUGCCUUAAAAAGUUUCGUAAUACAGCUGCAGAUGAUAGAAUCGUUAGUAAGCGCUUAGGUAAAUGUUUUUUUCGUCCUGACGUUAAAAUACUUUUAGACGAUGAUGUUUUAUCAUCCAUAUUGUGAGCAUGACAGCUUCUUUGUCAUUUUAGUCUAUGCCACAGAUAGGUUUUGUUAUCGGCGUGCGAGGAAACUGUUCUAUAUAAGUUUAAAGUUAUCCGUUUAUAUAUCGAACAUGGUAACUAUCCAAUCAGAGUUUCCAAAUAGCAGUCUUCCACUAUUUGCUAAAGACCACAAUGUUAGCGAGCACUGAUUCACCCAAGACCAGCAGUGGCGUGCACUUCGUACAUGCAUUAAAGUACUGCAUACCCUGAGGAUUGUUCUCUUUAUGCUUAUUAAAUG